rnacentral:rRNA from 1 species
UACGAAGGGGGCUAGCGUUGCUCGGAAUCACUGGGCGUAAAGCGCACGUAGGCGGCUUUCUAAGUCAGGGGGUGAAAAUCCCGGAGCUCAACUCCGGAACUGCCUUUGAUACUGGAAAGCUUGAGUUCGGGAGAGGUGAGUGGAACUGCGAGUGUAGAGGUGAAAUUCGUAGAUAUUCGCAAGAACACCAGUGGCGAAGGCGGCUCACUGGCCCGAUACUGACGCUGAGGGUGCGAAAAGCGUGGGGGAGCAAACAG